rnacentral:piRNA from 1 species
UCUAGCAUGUAGAGCAAGCUUGU